rnacentral:rRNA from 1 species
UCUAAGUGGAGUAUUAUAAAGCGAAACUGCGAACGGCUCAUUAUAACAGAUAUAACUUACUAGUUCUUGUUUCUAUAUGGAUAACUGCGGUAAUUCUGGAGCCAAUACAUGCAUUAAGCCGCUGCCUUCGGGUUAGCGGUGCAAUUAUUGGAGCAAAACCAGUCUCGUACUGUUUGCUAACUCUGGAUAAUUCUGCUUAUCGCAUGGUCUCGUACCGGCGAAGUAACUUUCAGGUAUCUGCUUUAUCAACUAUCGUUGGUAGUUUAUUGGACUACCAUGGUGUUGACGGGUAACGGAGAAUCAGGGUUUGACUCCGGAGAGGGAGCCUUAGAAACGGCUACCAUGUCUAAGGAUAGCAGCAGGCGCGAAAAUUACCCAAUAUCAAAACGAUGAGGUAGUGACGAGAAAUAACGAGAUCGUUCUCUUUGAGGUCGAUUAUUGGAAUGAGUACAAUUCAGAAAAUUUAACGAGUAUCUACGAGAGGGCAAGUCUGGUGCCAGCAGCCGCGGUAAUUCCAGCUCUCGUAAUGUAUAGAAUUAUUGUUGCGAUUAAAAAGUUCGUAGUUGGAUUGUAACGCGGCCAUGGGUCCAUCCUCGUGAUGUGUACUCAAUGGUCGCAUUUUGCUGGUUUUCGAGGCGUCGUUUCGGCGGCGCUCUUGAUGCCAGCAGGAUUACUUUGAACGGCUCAAGUGCUUAAAGCAAGUCUUAUGACUGAAUACCGGUGCAUGGAAUAAUGGAAGAAGGUUGCGGCCGAGUUUUAUUGGUUUUGUCGGCUGAAACAAUGGUUAACAGAAACAGCCGGGGGCAUUCGUAUCGCUGCGCGAGAGGUGAAAUUCGUGGACCGUAGCGAGACGCCCGACAGCGAAGGCAUUUGCCAAGAGUGUUUUCAUUAAUCAAGAACGAAAGUCAGAGGUUCGAAGGCGAUUAGAUACCGCCCUAGUUCUGACCGUAAACGAUGCCAACUGUCGAUCCGCUUGUGGAUUCAAUUCAUGAGCGGGGAGAUUCCCGGAAACGAAAGUUUUUCGGUUUCGGGGGAAGUAUGGUUGCAAAGCUGAAACUUAAAGGAAUUGACGGAAGGGCACCACCAGGAGUGGAGCUUGCGGCUUAAUUUGACUCAACACGGGAAAUCUCACCCGGCCAGUACAUCGUAAGGAUUGACAGACUGACAGCUCUUUCAUGAUUCGGUGAAUGGUGGUGCAUGGCCGUUCUUAGUUCGUGGAUUGAUUUGUCUGGUUUAUUCCGAUAACGAGCGAGACUUUGACUAUUAAAUAGUGCACUCGUUGCUUCGGCUGCGAGCGAUCACUUCUUAAAGGAAUUUGUGGUUUCCAACCUCAAGAAAUUGAGCAAUAACAGGUCUGUGAUGCCCUUAGAUGUUCGGGGCCGCACGCGUGCUACAAUGGUGGUAACAGCGUGAUUGUCCUUUUCCGACAGGAAUUGGCAAACAGUUGAGAUAUUAUUAUGGCUGGAAUUGAGUGUUGAAAUUUUCCCUCAUGAACGAGGAAUUCCAAGUAAAUGUGAGUCAUUAACUUGCAUUGAUUACGUCCCUGCCCUUUGUACACACCGCCCGUCGCUGCCCGGGACUGAGUUACUUCGAGAAAACUAGGGAUCGUUGGAGUCCGAUGUUCGCAUCUGCUUCGAUGCAAACUAGCUUAAUCGCAGUGGCUUGAACCGGGCAAAAGUCGUAACAAGGUAGCCGUAGGUGAACCUUCGGCUGGAUCAUUACAGUUCCAAACAAAAACCUUGUCGUUUUCGACGCAUUGGAGAGUCGACGCCUGAGAACGUCGUCUCUGCGUUUGCACACUGUAUAUUGUUGUGCUGAUCAAACCUUAACGGCUCCGUUUGGUUUCUGUGGGUCGGCUGAGCGGUCGUGUCGAACGUCCGUGGCCGCGCAUGAUGUCGACCCGGUAUUUCGCGCCUUUCCGCAUUGGCACACACACGCUUUUGUGUGUGUGUGUUGGUGUGAAUGUGCUGUGGAACAGAAUCAAUGAACUCAAGAGGUCGCCAAACAAACACCAAUUAUUCUAAUUCUUUUAAGCUGUGAAAAUAAUAUAUAAGUUAUACCGGUGGAUCACUUGGCUCACGGUUCGAUGAAAAACGCAGUGAAUUGCGAUAAGAAGUACGAAUUACAGAUAUUAUGAGUACCAUGUUUUUGAAUGCAUAUUGCGCUGUUGGGCUUUGCUCUUCGGCAUAUGUGAUUCAGGGUAUUUUCCAUACAACAAGGUUGUUUCCGCCCCGGUGGAGAUAUACCGUUUCAUUACGAGCGUCUUCCGUGUGAGAGCGGUCGACUAACGCGAAUGUAAAUGAAUGAAAAGCAAUGGUGUUGAAGCGACUGCGGAUGCUUUUGCAUUCACGGUUGCGGAAAACGCACGAGAUACGACCGAUCGUGUCCGUCACCACGUCAAAGGCGCAUGUAAAUGAUUCGCUCAUAUGCGUUGCGGUGAAUGUGUUCGACGAUUGUACGUCGGGGGUUGGCGGCUGCUAUUGCGGCGAACCGAUCUGCUCGUGCGGCAUUUGUGUUGCAAUGAAACUACCUGAAUUGCGUAUGAUUACCUGCUGAACUUAAGCAUAUCAGUAAGCAGAGGAAAAGAAACAAACAUGGAUUCCCUGAGUAACUGCGAGUGAAACGGGAUGAGCCCAGCGCUUAAGGCUUCUGCUCGUUUGAGUGGCGGCCGGUGUAGCGUAUAGAGCUUUCGUUUGCUUGUCCGCGGCUGGUCUAAGUUUUGCUGGAAAGCAAUGGCAUAGACGGUUUAACCCCGGUAUGGCCGGCUGCGGUUGGUAAGUGUAGGUUCUUGGAGUCGGGUUGUUUGGAAUCGCAGCCCAAAGCGGGUGGUAAACUUCACCUAAGGCUAAAUAUGACCGUGAGACCGAUAGAAAACAAGUACCGUGAGGGAAAGUUGAAAAGUACUUUGAAAAGAGAGUGCAAGAGAACGUGAAACCGGUAUAAUGGAAGCAUAUGGAGUUGACGUAUCUAGCAUGCAUACAGUUGCUCGGCGUGGCAAUUGCGGCGUUCGUCGUUCCGCAAGGUCGACUGCGUUGUAUUGUUGUUGCGUUGUGUGAUGCAUUUGUGUGCGGAGUGCGCCGAGUUGCGUUGUGGCGUCGGUUGAGACUGUUCGAGAGGACAUGAUUUUCGGAUUGUGAAACCUUGGACGGUGUAGGCCGGUUGCUGCUGCGUAGCUUUGUAGAGAUGUGGGCCUACGUGCGGCGUUGGGUCGGUACCGUUGGUUUGUGUUGUACGCAUGCGUGCGGCGCUUAUGAAUUGUGCCGGCUCGGCGUUGUACUCUGCAUCAUUCUCGGUGUAUAGUCAAUGACCCAUUUGACCCGUCUUGAAACACGGACCAAGGAGUUUAUGGUAUGCGCGAGUUAUUGGGUCGACGAAACCCAAAGGCGAAAUGAAAGUGAGACCUUACUGGUUUGAAUGUGAUCGGCUUCUGUUUCGAUGGUUGUCGAGCAACAUUGCCCCGUUUCGAGGACUUGUCCUGAUGCGGAGGUUGAGCGUAUGCUAUGAGACCCGAAAGAUGGUGAACUAUGCCUGAACAGGAUGAAGCCAGAGGAAACUCUGGUGGAAGUCCGAAGCGGUUCUGACGUGCAAAUCGAUCGUCUGAUUUUGGUAUAGGGGCGCAAGACUAAUCGAACCAUC